UGGCUCAGUGGUUAAGAGCACUGACUGCUCCUCCAGAGGUCCUGAGUUCAAAUCUCAG
rnacentral:tRNA from 1 species